AUGUGUCAGAUGAAAUGCUGGAGACGAUGUUUUUCAAGACGGCAUGGGUGUGAGAUCGUGAAAGUAGAGUUUUUAAUCCAGUGGUUCAAGAAGAUCACACGCUUCCUGACUGUCACUAAGGAUGGGGGCCUUCAGUUCUGGACUGAGUCCUUGCUGAUUAGCUCUUUUAGGCUCAGCCAGGCCCAGCAGCCCCACAGCCAGGAGAUGUGGGUCAUUGACCUGGUAUGCCUGCACAACAUGAACCUCAUUGCAGUUUCAUCUACUGAACUGAAGAUAGGUGAGUCCCUGGGGCCUCCCCAGGCCUGCUCACUACCUCUGGGAACCACACAUUUGCAUUUGGGGGAGAUCAGUUGGCUAAGUAACCGUGAGAUUAGAUAAGAGUCCCCUGGGAGCAGUGCCAGGUAGAGAGGACUUAGUAAUCAGAGGUGCUUAGUGAGGGGCUGCAUGAGGUAGAUACCACAA
rnacentral:lncRNA from 1 species